GGGGAAUUUUCCGCAAUGGGCGAAAGCCUGACGGAGCAAUACCGCGUGAGGGAUGACGGCCUAUGGGUUGUAAACCUCUUUUUUCAGGGAGGAAACAGAUGACGUUACCUGAAGAAUAAGCAUCGGCUAACUCCGUGCCAGCAGCCGCGGUAAGACGGAGGAUGCAAGUGUUAUCCGGAAUCACUGGGCGUAAAGCGUCUGUAGGUGGUUGAAUAANUCAACUGUUAAAUCUUGAGGCUCAACCUCAAAACCGCAGUCGAAACUAUUCGACUAGAGUAUAGUAGGGGUAAAGGGAAUUUCCAGUGGAGCGGUGAAAUGCGUAGAGAUUGGAAAGAACACCGAUGGCGAAGGCACUUUACUGGGCUAUUACUAACACUGAGAGACGAAAGCUAGGGUAGCAAAUGGGAUUAGAUACCCCAGUAGUC
rnacentral:rRNA from 1 species